rnacentral:lncRNA from 1 species
AGCCUCCCGAGUAGCUGGGAUUAUAGGCAUGUGCCACCACGCCCGGCUAAUUUUGUACUUUUAGUACAGACAGGAUUUCUCCAUGUUGGUCAGGCUGGUCUCGAACUCCCGAUCUCAGGUGAUCCGCCCGCCUCGACCUCCCAAAGUGUUGGGAUUUACAGGCGUGGAUUAUUUUAUUUAUUGUGUAAUUCAGUAUUAAUCUUUUUAAGGGCUAUGUGUGAGAGGGAUUGGAAAAAGGAGAAGGGAAGUCAUUGCCAGACAGCACGGCCCAGCCUUUUCCUGCCCACCCUCCUCAAUCAAGUGCUGAUAAAUAAGCUUCCCAUCUGUUUGUCACCAGUGUGCUUUGCCACCUCCUUUUUCUCCCCUCCACUACAAAACCAGCCACCUGGUUUCCCCAGCAAUGCAGGGAGCCUCCCCAAAUCCCUAAAGACCUUAGGAAAUUAGUCUAAGAUUAAGACCUUAGGAAAUUAGUUUGUUACACCCCAAGUUGGAGGGUGACAGGUUGCAGCAGCAGCUAACGUACAGGAGACAGACCUGAGCAUGGUGAAGUUAGGAGAGGGGAAGACGGAGCAGGCCCAGCGGUUGAGAACCACUGCACUGUUGAGUGGCCACUGCAUGCCAGGCUCUGGUCUAGGAACUUUGCUUACUUUUCCUUUUUUAAUACACAAGUCAAGCCCAUGAAGUAAGUAUGGUUAGUCUAAAAAGAAGAAACUGAAGCACAGAAAGGUUAGGUAAUUUGUUGAAGGUCAUCCAGCUAGAAACUGGCCAAACCUGGCUUUGAACAAAUGUUACAAUGGCUAUGAGACUGAAAACACACAAAAACUGAAAAUACACAAGUUGUCUUGUUUCUUCCACAAUCUUUGAAGCUUCUUUAACAUGGCUCCUAUAAUCUGUCUUGGGACUCACAUCCAAGACAGAAAUUGUCACUUAUCUGAUAAAGGAAAUGAAACUGACAAUCCUACCCCACCCUUCCGUCUUUCAUGUUUGCCAGAGAAGGUGUUAAUGAACAAAUGGGAAGGAGAAGGUGGGGCUGGGGAGGGGUAAAAAAAGGGGCCCAGCUCGUCCAGGUAGCACUAAGCUAUGGGCUUACACUAAUCCCUGCAGAGAACAUCUGAACAUUUGUACAUUAAGCAAUCAUUUUUUUUUGAACGAUACAGAAAUUAGCAUGGCCCCGUGCAAGGAUGACUUGCAAAUUCAUGAAGCAUUCCCUAUUUUUUCAAAAUUAAAAUAAAAAUAAUUUUUUUUUUUUUUGAGACGGAGUCUCGCUGUUUUGCCCAGGGCGGACUGCAGUGGCGCUAUCUCGGCUCACUGCAAGCUCCACUUCCCGGGUUCAUGCCAUUCUCCUGCCUCAGCCUCCCGAGUAGCUGGAACUACAGGUGCCCGCCACCGCGCCCAGCUAAUUUUUAGUAUUUUUAGUAGAGACGGAGUUUCACCGUGUUAGCCAAGAUGGUCUCAAUCUCC